AUAGACGAGCGCUCGACGCAGAGGGCGCGACGGCUCCAGGGCGAUGCAGGGAAACGGCGGAUCUGGCGCAGCGGUCUGAGGUGGACUGGAUCGGGUGCGAGAGGCAGGUUUGAGGGCUAGAUUCGGCCGAUGCGGCGACCUGCCGAAGAGCGGCGGUGGCGGGGCUGGAUCCGGUCAAUGGGCAACCACCGGAUCAGUUUGGGAGCCUAGCAGCAGGAGCGCUCCGUCCACACCCUGCGUUGGACCGGCAGUAGCACCGCUCCCUCCCUCCUAGCCCCGCGCUAGAUUGGCAGCAACAGCGCAAAUGGAUUCAACCGCCAGCCCAUUCGCGAAGGGCUUGACCCCAGCUACAAAUUGCCGCCAUAGAGUAUGUUGACUAUGUUCUAAUAUGUAUGCUCAAGUUUGUCUUCUUGUCUCUCAAAAAAAGUUUGUCUUCUUGAUUUUUCUGGCUGCGGGGCAUGGGAACCGUGGAUCGAUCCCCACAUACACAGGUAUGGGUUUCACAUCGUUGUCAAUUUUGAUAUGUUUGACGGGAUGAAUGAUGCGUCAGAUUCUUCUAAAACUGCCACUAUUCCGUACGUAUCUGUCGCAACCUGAAUUUAUGUCUGUCAUGCAUUCAUUAUCUUUGUUUUGUGAGGCUCGAUCAACUUUUAGCUUUUGUCCUCUUGGAGACGUCCUCCUUGAACAGCUUGGAUUCAGUCAUCAAGUCCAUCAUAGGUUUCUGCUGGAUGCCCAGCAUCCGCUUGCACUUAGACAGGGAGGGAGGGAAGGAUCUGCCAUAUUGAAGCAUCCAAUAUUUAUGCUUACCCCGAUCUCUAGAGUCAAGGAUUCUCCACUGAUUGAAAGAUGCAAAUACUGAGCUAUGCUAACUAGAGUAAUGCUAUCUACUUUAUAUCAGCGCAUUUUAUUUGAUUCUUUUAGUAUCUAGACAAUAUUGCACGACCAAAUCAUAAUAGACCGGGUGAUUGACGUUCGCCUACCUGUAAGGAUUCUCCCAGGUUGUAUCUACCGAGGAGUGAGCGGAGGAGCAGGAUUAGGAGAUGCCCAUGGCUUGAUAAUAUGCCAGACAGCUUCUUGUGUGUUUGCAGCUUGCUAAACAUUCGUCAAAAUUAUGGUUCGCUUGCACCUUGUACAAGUAUGAAUUUUUGCCAUAUCCCACUUCAGGGCAUAAAUUACUAUUUUUUUCAAAACGGCAACGCAUAAAUUAAGGUUUUUUAUA